rnacentral:rRNA from 1 species
UUAGGAAUAUUGGACAAUGGGGGCAACCCUGAUCCAGCCAUGCCGCGUGUGUGAAGAAGGCCUUAGGGUUGUAAAGCACUUUCGGCUGUGAAGAUAAUGACAGUAGCAGAAGAAGAAGCUCCGGCUAAAUUCGUGCCAGCAGCCGCGGUAAUACGAAUGGAGCGAGCGUUGUUCGGAAUCACUGGGCGUAAAGGGUGCGCAGGCGGUCUUGAAAGUUAGAAGUGAAAGCCCCGGGCUUAACCCGGGAAUU